rnacentral:rRNA from 1 species
AUUGAACGCUGGCGGCAUGCCUUACACAUGCAAGUCGAACGGCAGCAUGGAGAGCUUGCUCUCUGAUGGCGAGUGGCGAACGGGUGAGUAAUGCAUCGGAACGUACCGUGUAAUGGGGGAUAACGUAGCGAAAGUUACGCUAAUACCGCAUACGACCUGAGGGUGAAAGCAGGGGAUCGCAAGACCUUGCGUUAUACGAGCGGCCGAUGUCAGAUUAGCUAGUUGGUGAGGUAAAGGCUCGCCAAGGCGACGAUCUGUAGCGGGUCUGAGAGGAUGAUCCGCCACACUGGGACUGAGACACGGCCCAGACUCCUACGGGAGGCAGCAGUGGGGAAUUUUGGACAAUGGGGGCAACCCUGAUCCAGCCAUGCCGCGUGAGUGAAGAAGGCCUUCGGGUUGUAAAGCUCUUUCGGCCGGGAAGAAAUCGCACAGGCUAAUACUCUGUGUGGAUGACGGUACCUGCAGAAAAAGCACCGGCUAACUACGUGCCAGCCGCCGCCGUAA